AGCCACCACCCUGCCUGGGGCUUUGCUGCUGGAGCAGGUGAGAAGGUGGGCAAGGUCCCAGAGCACCCCUGCCCACCGGUCCUACAGCCUGAGACCCAGGCCAUGCCGGUUUGGCUCUUGUUCUAUUUCCCAGGCUGGUUCCCCUUCUGCAAACUUCCUGCCACCCUUCCAGCAAGGGCCCCGCCUCUCCUAGCGGCCCGGAGCCGUCUGUGGUUUGCAGCUAGUGCUGCCCUGUCCUCCCUUGCUGCAGGCUGUCCUGGCGCCGUCUCUCCCUGCUGUCAGCCUGCUGGCCUUCAGAAGGUCUCCCCUCCUGGUCUGUGCUCCUCCUAAUGCCGUGGGAUGGACAAGCCCUCAGCUAGCUCGGAGACACGUGCAAAGUAAGGGUCUGUGGGAUCCAAACAGGGCGCGGAAUCAGCUACGUGAUCCAUCAACACACGUUCAUGAGCUCCUGCGCCAAGGAAGCUGGGUUGUGAUCGAGGCUCCCUCCUGCACGGAUGCCAGGCUGGUUUGGGAACAUGAGCCCCGUCUAGAAGGAGGUCCCGAGUGCAGGGAACCAGCCCUAAGCCUCACAUUCUUAUUUAUAUGUUUCUCUGUUUAAUGGGCGUUUUUGUGCCAGGUCAAGUGCUGGACACUGUAGGUGAUCCUCAGAGCCUCCACAACAGCAGGCUCCCUCCUGGGAGGCAAGGUCUAGGCGCUCGGCCCGCACCCCAGGUCAGAGCAAAGUGUUUCCUGCCCAGCUCGCGGCUGUACUUUACCCAGAAGAUGCCCAACUCCCUCUGGCUCUGAAGUUCUAUGGCCAGCCUGCUCGGGCGUGCCCCACUGCCUGGACCCUGACGCCACUCCCAAAACACAGCUCAGAGCUAAGGUCUGCAUCAGGAAACAAACACUGUAUCCUUUAUCCCUCCUCCCAUCGUCCCCAGUUCCGUCCUCAGUGCCAGACGAGAAAUGGGCUUAGGGCUUGUUCUGCUGUGGUUUUGUGGGUGGGGGCUUUGUCCUCCCGGCAUGGGCGGGGGUGCACUGGGAGGAGGAGAGAGUUACAUUAAAAAGGGAAGUUUUGUGCGGGCCAUGCUGAACCCAAAGGGAUGGCCACCAGGAGGAGAGUGCCGGGCUCUGCAUCCCGUCUCUGGACUGAGGGCUGGGCAGAGCGGUGUCUUUCUCUGCACUCAAGUCUGCACUGUCCUUAAGCCUGGGAAACGGGCCCAGGGGCAAGGAGGCCACAGAGCAAAGGAGCCAGCCCACUCCAAGCUGGCGGCCCUCUCCUACCAGACUGCAGUUUGUAACCCAGGACCCCCAAAUUCCCUGCCCAGGUGGUCCUGACUGUGCUCCUGGAGCCUAAGGAAAUUUUUUUCUGGGGUCCAUCUCCCCCAAGGUCUGACCACACUACCGAUGUGUGCACCCCUGGACCCCAGGGGCGGCCUGGGGGCAGCUAUUUGGGAAGAGGAGGGUGGACCGCAGGUAGAGCGUCUGCAGAUGUGACUGCAAGGCCUCUCACCAUGUAGGGUACAGCCGGUGUGGACAAGAAGGGGGUCAGGCUGGGGGAUGGGCACUGCAAACGCUAGGGGUCUCCAGCCCUGAUGACAAAGGACAGGGCAUGGCAGAAGGUGCCUUAGUGUCCACGCUGGUUACCAGUGUACUGAUUACUUACUGUUUUCAUCAGUUCAUUAAACCAGACCUUCUAAAUACUGCAACUUAAAGUAGAAUUUUAAGAAAAAUAGCUCCUAGAGAUCAGGAACUCACAGAAACACUGAGGGAGGGCUUCCUGUGAGCUGGUCCUGGGGUGCUGGCUGCCUGGAGCUUGGAGCUGCUUGGGGGAGACAGCGGAACGUAGGGGAGGGCAUGAGUGAUGGGAUGCUCUGUAAAGGGACAUGCAGGCUUCUGAACAGAGGUCCCAGCGCAAGUGGUCGGGAGGCCUCCCGAGGGAGGGAGCUAAGGUUACUGAUGGGUGAACCAAGGCCCCAAGAGGCCAGGUGUAUUGAGCUCAGAGUGGCUGUCAUUAUUUGAUGACAGUUUUCCUAACUGUGAGAUUAGCGGGCUUGGGGCCACCCUUUGUGGCCUGGUUCUCACGUUGGAGUGCGCAGGGGUUCCCCCACCAGCCUGUUUUCACGCAACUGAACAGUUUUGCCCAUCAUUCGACUUCAGCUGUGCACUCGCACACACACCUGCCUCCAGUCUGGGUGUGGUGAUGAGCCUGAAUGGCCUGCCUUCAAGGCAUUCGGAAGACAAGGAGACCCGCCAGCCACUUAACAGGCGUCCUCCGCGCAGCUUUGAAAUCUGAGGCUGGGCUCCCAGCCCUGCCCGCCUGCGGUUUGCCUCCCCGGGCCUCCCCUGGGAAGCAGGCCCUGCCGUGAAGCUGGAUUUGAUCAAAGCCUCUGCAAACCCGAGCUGAAGCCGCAGCUCUCGGCGUUAUUACAGUGCUUAAUAACUUUCCACGGCUCCUCCCUCGCAGAGACCCUGAAAGGCUGCCCGUUCCUCCUCCAUCCUCCCUCUGCCUUUCCAUGUGGUGAGAAGGGGCCUGGGGCGGCUGGGGGCGGGUUUGACUUCCCUCCCGUGGUUCGCAGCCAUAAUCGCUGUGUUCCUAAUUUCCACGUUCUGGAAGGCUCCUUACAGUGUAACAAAUGCCCUAAUUACCGUGUUUGUGGCCCUAAACGUCGUUUUAAACAUGCGGCUCCAUUUCUAUCACCCGGCAACGUGGCAGAGAAGCCACCAGGAGAGCUUCCAGUGUGCAGAACGGGUCUCCGGCCUGCCUGGAUCUCGAGAUUUCAAUCUUAACUGGCAGGGAGAGUAAUUUGAAAUUUAAUCAUCUUUCCCCCAAGCGAGAAUGCCUUAUUAUUGCUUUUCUAGAGAAAAGAACAGGCCCAGAAAUCCAUCUCCAAAUUUGGGGGGGGAGGGGGCGCAUUAGGCUGUGACUGCAUGGCGGCCGCACUGGAGGGCUGUCCGUGGGACAGUCGUCGUGGCUGUGUUCAGCUGGAGCCAGCAGAGCUGCUCCGGCAGAACCAGCCCGCAUAGGCAGGCCCUGGCGAGACCCUCCCGUCCGAGAGCCCUCCCCUCCAACAGCCUGUCUCGUGCUUUCCACAGGGAGGGCUUUCUCCCCUCCCUUGUUGAAAGCAGCCGCCUUGGAGAGAUGGUACCCAGGUUAGCCAGCGGGAGCUCAGGGGUGCCACCUGGUCCCCAGGGUCCCCAGCUGCUCAGUGAAGGGGCUUUAGCCUCAGCCUGCGGCCAAGUGAGAGAAAUAAGAAUGUAGGAAGUUUUUGAUAAAAGCAGAUUCUGUCUGUGGAUGGUGGAGGAGAAAGGAGCUUUGACUGCAUGGAGCCAGAAGCUAGUCUAAGGAAAACUCUGCCUGUCAUCAGCUGGGUACACGUCUCAGUAGAGAAUCUGGUUCUCAUCAUUUCUGGCCCACACGGAAGGUCUUCCCCGCCUGGAAUGCACUUGACAAUCCCGCGUAAACAGUCCUGAGCGCCCGACACGCUGCCAGCUCACCUGCGCGGGAGACUGGGUGGAGGUUCCGCCAAAUCGGGCAACGGCCUUAAAACUUAAAUGACCUCACAGCAAUGAGCUAGGAAACUAGAAGAAGUUUCCUAAAUGAUCAAUAAUAAAAAGCAAAAUCGGGCUGAUGGCAUAAAGGGGGGCAGGGCUGUCCUUCUGCCCUCCCCGAGAGGAAGCCACACAGCUGCUGACGUGUGAAGAGAGGGCUGAAGGGCACGAUGGGGAGCGCUAUCUUAGCGGCAUGUCAGGCAGUCAGCUAUUAAAUAGUGUGGAUUUUCCCCCUGAA